rnacentral:rRNA from 1 species
GAAUGCCCUAUGGGUUGUAAACUGCUUUUAUUUAGGAAUAAACCCCUUUACGUGUAGAGGGCUGAAGGUACUAAACGAAUAAGCACCGGCUAACUCCGUGCCAGCAGCCGCGGUAAUACGGAGGGUGCAAGCGUUAUCCGGAAUCAUUGGGUUUAAAGGGUCCGCAGGCGGAUGUUUAAGUCAGUGGUGAAAUCCUGCAGCUUAACUGCAGAACUGCCAUUGAUACUGUACAUCUUGAAUUCGGUCGAAGUGGGCGGAAUGUGUAGUGUAGCGGUGAAAUGCAUAGAUAUUACACAGAACACCGAUAGCGAAGGCAGCUCACUAGGCCUGGAUUGACGCUCAGGGACGAAAGCGUGGGGAUCAAACAGGAUUAGAUACCCUGGUAGUCCACGCUGUAAACGAUGAUUACUCGUUUUCGGCGAUAUACAGUCGG